rnacentral:misc_RNA from 1 species
GCAGCUCCCCACAUGCGGGCAUUUCAUUUGUCUUGGGUGUCUUUCUUCUCUUGUUUUGUGUCCACUUUUGCUGCUCCACCUCUCCUUCCCAUAAUACGUGACAACCUCAAUCUCACAGCCACAGACAUUGGCAAUGCAGGUAUUGCUUCCGUCUCUGGUGCUGUCUUUGCGAGAAUUGCCAUGGGGAACCUUUUUGGACCCCGUAUUGCCUCUGCUUCACUGAUACUCCUUACAGCACCAGCGGUCUACUUCACUUCCGUUGUCUCAUCACCUGUUUCUUUUCUCCUC